rnacentral:rRNA from 1 species
UCGGGAAUUUUGGGCAAUGGGCGAAAGCCUGACCCAGCAACGCCGCGUGAAGGAUGAAGUAUUUCGGUAUGUAAACUUCGAAAGAAUAGGAAGAAUAAAUGACGGUACUAUUUAUAAGGUCCGGCUAACUACGUGCCAGCAGCCGCGGUAAUACGUAGGGACCAAGCGUUGUUCGGAUUUACUGGGCGUAAAGGGCGCGUAGGCGGCAAUUCAAGUCAUCUGUGAAAUCUCCGGGCUUAACUCGGAACGGUCAGAUGAUACUGCUUUGCUAGAGUGCAGAAGGGGCAAUCGGAAUUCUUGGUGUAGCGGUGAAAUGCGUAGAUAUCGGAAGGAACAUCGGUGGCGAAGGCGUCUACCUGGCCUAAUACUGACACUGAGGCACGAAAGCGUGGGGAGCAAACAGGAUUAGAUACCCGCGUAGUCCCUGAGCGGGCUGGCAAGGCGCAU